GAUGAACGCUGGCGGCGUGCUUAACACAUGCAAGUCGAACGGUGAAGGCGGAGCUUGCUCUGCUGGAUCAGUGGCGAACGGGUGAGUAACACGUGAGCAAUCUGCCCCUGACUCUGGGAUAAGCGCUGGAAACGGCGUCUAAUACUGGAUACGAGCUGCGAAGGCAUCUUCAGCAGCUGGAAAGAACUUCGGUCAGGGAUGAGCUCGCGGCCUAUCAGCUUGUUGGUGAGGUAAGGGCUCACCAAGGCGUCGACGGGUAGCCGGCCUGAGAGGGUGACCGGCCACACUGGGACUGAGACACGGCCCAGACUCCUACGGGAGGCAGCAGUGGGGAAUAUUGCACAAUGGGCGAAAGCCUGAUGCAGCAACGCCGCGUGAGGGACGACGGCCUUCGGGUUGUAAACCUCUUUUAGCAGGGAAGAAGCGAAAGUGACGGUACCUGCAGAAAAAGCGCCGGCUAACUACGUG
rnacentral:rRNA from 1 species